AUUGAACGCUGGCGGCAGGCCUAACACAUGCAAGUCGAACGAGUGGCGGACGGGUGAGUAAUGUCUGGGACACUGACCGAUGGAGGGGGAUAACUACUGGAGACGGUAGCUAAAAACGCAUACCAUCGGAUGUGCCCAGAUGGGAGUAGAUAGUAGGUGGGGUAACGGCUCACCUACGAGAAGAUCCCUAGCUGGUCUGAGAGGAUGACCAGCCACUCUGGAACUGAGACACGGUCCAGACUCCUACGGGAGGCAGCAGUGGGGAAUAUUGCACAAUGGGCGAAAGCCUGAUGCAGCCAUGCCGCGUGUAUGAAGAAGGCCUUCGGGUUGUAAAGUACUUUCAGCGGGGAGGCGUUACUCGCAGAAGAAGCACCGGCUAACUCCGUGCCAGCAGCCGCGGUAAUUC
rnacentral:rRNA from 1 species